rnacentral:rRNA from 1 species
ACCAGACUCCUACGGGAGGCAGCAGUGGGGAAUAUUGCACAAUGGGGGAAACCCUGAUGCAGCAACGCCGCGUGAAGGAAGAAGGGUUUCGGCUCGUAAACUUCUAUCAACAGGGACGAAAGAAAUGACGGUACCUGAAUAAGAAGCCCCGGCUAACUACGUGCCAGCAGCCGCGGUAAUACGUAGGGGGCAAGCGUUAUCCGGAAUUACUGGGUGUAGAGGGUGAGUAGGCGGCAUGGUAAGCCAGAUGUGAAAGCCUUGGGCUUAACCCGAGGAUUGCAUUUGGAACUAUCAAGCUAGAGUACAGGAGAGGAAAGUGGAAUUCCUAGUGUAGCGGUGAAAUGCGUAGAUAUUAGGAGGAACACCAGUGGCGAAGGCGGCUUGCUGGACGAUGACUGACGUUGAGGCUCGAAAGCGUGGGGAGCAAACAGGAUUAGAUACCCGCGUAGU